GCUGGGCGUGGUGGUGCAUGCCUGUAAUCCCAACUACUCAGGAGGCUGAGGCACAAGAAUUGCUUGAACCCAGGAGGUGGAGGUUGCAGUGAGCCAAGAUCGUGCCACUGCAUUCCAGCCUGGGUGACAAAGUGAGACUAUGUCUCCA
rnacentral:SRP_RNA from 1 species